GUCAUGCCGGCAAGCUGCUGCGUAGGUAGAUGCGUAUAUCGCCCGAAAUAAGUCAGUGGGAUCGCCUUUUUUCGUUUCGCAAGAGACGAGAAGCGGCGACAAACGUGGGUGCUGAAAAUGCGCCGCGACGAAUUCCAGCCAUCCGACGACGACAGAAUAUGCGAGCUCACUUUAUCACGGAGCAUCAAGGGGACGCUGAUUGCUGCGGCCAGCAUCGGACUUCGUACCAGCCAAGCAAAAGAAAACGCAACCAAAGUACAAAUCUACGACAUCCUCGGUCGUGCUUGAAUCAAACGACUUUGUUGAGUCUCAGCGCCUCCGCAAGGAUCCAGCGCCGACGGCAGCCAGGAUAGCCUACAAAAGCAGGCUUCUAUCGGGCUCCUCAGCAUGGUGCAGUAUCCUUGUCAUCUUCGCAGCACUCAUACUUUUUCACAUACGCAGGGCCGAGUAAUUUAUCCUGGAAUUAAGUAAAUCCUUCUGCACAGAUGUGCUGCUUCACGUUGUUUCUUGGGCCUUCGAAGCGCAUUCUACGAAUUGUGCCUCAACAACCUCCUCCUUUCCUCCUUGACCAAGAAAAGCUCAAGGUAACGUCAACGUUGCGGGUCAACGAUCGCUAUGAAAUGUACAAUCUCCGCACCAUGACGAGAGUUCACCGGACAGGUUACCUGACGCCAGUUCCUGGUUUAAAUGGUUUAAACAUCGUUCGAAACCGUGCACGCAACACGCACGCAGUGAAGGCUGCGUUUCUAACUUCCAACUUCGUUGCGCACCGGAGCUUAUGCUGCAGGAGGAAGCAGAAGCGACAAAAGAAGACAAAUUAACUUGUUAUAUCAUGACCUCCCGCUGUCAGCCCCGCAGGCAACAAAUAAACGAGCACCCUGU